rnacentral:pre_miRNA from 1 species
AGGAGCAACAACCCCAGUGGUGGGGCCAGCUCUGGAGCCCUGCAUUCAGCUCCCAGAGUAGCUCCGGAGCUCUCGGUCUGCAGGGCCUGAAGGCUCCAGUGUGGU